UAAACAUUUUAAGUAGGCCUGGAAAAGGAAAAGUCCAAAUUAUAUUUACGUAUUAUCGAAACCAAAAAAAAGAAAACUUCUUACACACACUGAGGCACAAAGACAGCACACAGUAAAAAAAUAAAUAAACAACAAUUAUCAUAUCUUGCAGAGAAAGCUAGGUAAUAGACAAGACGCCAAGAUGAAUCGCAUAGAUACUACCAUGGAUGACAUGGCCAAUACAAAAUUUCUGACGCUCUACAGUAGUUUGAUCAAACAGUUUUCGGCCUCCACGGAGUUUACCCACACUGAAGUUGUCUGCCUUCUUAUUAUCUACUACAAAUUCGUGCAGAUCAAUGGGCCGACUGCCAAGCAGAUGAAAAAGAAGCAAAUGUACAAUCUAUUCCUGGUGCUCUUUCGCAUCUACGACAUGACCCUUAUAGAACGUAUAUUGCUAAAUAUCACCGCCGAUGUUAUCUACAUCGGCCCGGAGGCCUGGAUGAAGUUAUUCUCAGUGUUCCUGAGCAAAAACUUGGAGACACGCAUGCAGUUUGCAUAUAAGGUGUACACAACAUCUUCCUCUGGCGUUCUAAAUCGCGAAACUGUUGGCAUGGCCAUCAACAAUUUCUUUGUAGGUGAAGAUGACGAUGAGGUCAAAGAGUUGCAGGCGGAUAUGACCGAGUUUAUAUUCAAUAAAUUUGAUUUGGACAAGGAUGGCGUCAUCUCAUAUGAGGAAUAUUAUGAGAUUGUAAGUAAUCAGCCGGUACUGUUGGAAUUUCUGGGACAGAUAUUUCCCGAUUUAUCCGACCUUACCACAAUUGCAUAUUGCACAAAUAUUGCAACGCUCUUUCCUGGCGAAGAUUAACUUUGAUUGAUUUUGUCUUACAAUUUUAAUGCAUUUUCAUUUAUAUAUAGUAGCAUAUGUGUGGGCUUUUUGGAUUUAAAACAUAGCCAAAGUUAGGAUGGAAUUUCGCUGAGCUCUAAAAACUCAUGUAGAUUUGUUGAAAUAACCGAAACUUAAACUUCUCUAAAUGGGAUUGGGUAUAAUAUAUAAAUCAGGCAAUGUUGUCCGCUGAAUAAUGAUUAACCAUUUUGAUUUUCGAAUACUGUAUAAAUUAAUAAUGAAAUAUUGUCCAAUAAAGUAACAAGCGAACAUUGAAUGACAUAAAUAUCCAUUAAAAA